AGAACGAACGCUGGCGGCAUGCCUAACACAUGCAAGUCGAACGAGACCUUCGGGUCUAGUGGCGCACGGGUGCGUAACGCGUGGGAAUCUGCCCUUGGGUUCGGGAUAACAGUUGGAAACGACUGCUAAUACCGGAUGAUGACUUCGGUCCAAAGAUUUAUCCGCCCAGGGAUGACGCCCGCGUAGGAUUAGCUAGUU
rnacentral:rRNA from 1 species